rnacentral:rRNA from 1 species
AGCGAACGCUGGCGGCAGGCUUAACACAUGCAAGUCGUGCGCCCCGCAAGGGGAGCGGCAGACGGGAGAGUAACACGUGGGAACGUACCUUUCAGUUCGGAACAACCAAGGGAAACUUUGGCUAAUACCGGAUACGCCCGUAAGGGGAAAGAUUUAUCGCUGAAAGAUCGGCCCGCGUCUGAUUAGCUUGUUGGUGAGGUAACGGCUCACCAAGGCGACGAUCAGUAGCUGGUCUGAGAGGAUGAUCAGCCUCACUGGGACUGAGACACGGCCCAGACUCCUACGGGAGGCAGCAGUGGGGAAGUAUUGGACAAUGGGCGCAAGCCUGAUCCAGCCAUGCCGCGUGGGUGAUGAAGGCCUUAGGUUGUAAG